UUAAACCAAUGUUUCUUUGAUUUCUGCCUCUUGACGAGGUCCUCAUUCCUUAUCCCCCAACAACCCCUCCACUAUAUCACUAUUUCUUUCGCUCGGUGAUGCCAUACAUUUGUUCAUCUUCUUCACAAUUUAUAUCACCCUCUCCUUAUCUCAUUCGUUGAAUACCUUCCACCUUCAACCACCUACUUCCCCCACCGUCUCCACCGCAUUCUUUUCAAACCAUACUCCUCUUUAUGCCGUCGAUUUUUCUGACUCGAUCUUAGAUUGGUUGGGUGAUACAAACAACAGUGCAGUCGUGAGGCUCGGGUUAGCAUGAAUCAUCGAACCCCCACCACAAGGCCAAGUGAUAAACACAUCAGGGCUGCUCUAAUUUGAUGAAGAUUGAAAAAAAAUGGUCUAUUCUCACAAUCGAGCCCUAAAUCUAUAUGGAUUCAAGCUUAUGUUUUUAUUUUGUCAUUCUCUAAUUCACUCUCAUAUAAUGUUGUCGAUCAUUAGGGUUUAUAUCGCCUCCCUCCUGGAUUAUAGCAAGGUACGUUAUCCUUACAAAUUCCCUUUGUUGGUACAUUUUUUAUUUCAUCACAAGUUAUCAAUUAGUUUUUGUCUUUCUUUGAGUCCCAGAGUUUCUAUAUAUCACCGGACCCUCAUCAUCUGUUUUUUUGUACACACGAUAUUGAACAAAAUCAGGACCAAAUAAGAAUCAAGGAAGACAAAACUUGAUUCAAAAACCAUUUACCCACUAAAGUUUUGUUUCAUUUCAUAUUCUAAUCUGUAUGUUAUGUAUUUAUUUGUUUUGUGCAUUAGUUCUAAUUUAAUUGGGUUUUAAGAUUUUUUAGGUUCUUCAAACUUUAUGAUUGAUGGUGUAGUUUCUUGUUUUUUUUCAAGUUAUUUUAAGUCAAACAUAGCUUUCUUCCAUCUUUUCCUCUAAAAAAAAUUCAAAAUCGAACUUGCAUAUCAAUUCCUUCUUCAGUGGAAUGGAAUGGGCUAUUCCACUGAAAUGGAAAAAAUUUUGUUUUUGAGUUUGUUUCCUUCUGUAGGGCAUGCAAUCUGGAUAUUAUUCUCAUAUUAUGUGGUUUGGGUGUUAACAUUCGUAUGGGUAUCAAAAUUAUUGUUUAGUUUGGAUUUUGUGAUUGUUUAAGGUUAAUACAAUUAAAAUGGGAUAUCUAAGGCCAAAGAAACUUUACUAAAUUAAGCUUUUACAUAAGCUCUCUCUCUCUCUCUCUAUAUAUAUAUAUAUAUAUAUAUANNNNNNNNNNNNNNNNNNNNNNNNNNNNNNNNNNNNNNNNNNNNNNNNNNNNNNNNNNNNNNUUACACCUAGUGUGUGUGUGUGUGUGUGUGUGUGUAUAUAUAUAUAUAUAUAUAUAUAUAUAUAUAUCCCUUUGUGUGUGUGUGUAUGUGUGUGUUUUUUUCUCUCUCAUGAUUCCUUAUCUAAUGCAAAAACAACUUUACUAAAGUGCAAGGAGCUUGCAAGAAACGAUAAAAGAAGAUCCCCUUUCUAAUCCUAAAAUCUACCAUUUAUUGCAAGCCUAAAAAACUGGUGAAAUCUCUUUUUUUUCUUCUAUUUUAUAUUUGCUUAAGUUCUUUGGUUUGUGUGUUUUAUUAUAUGGUGGCUAAAGGAUUUCAUAAGUCUUGAACUAUAGUUUCUAAUUUCAUACAAUUUGUGUAUUUUUUUUUGCCACUUUUUUAGAAGUUGUCACCGAACAUUCAAGGUAAGCAACAGUUUCUAGCAAUUAUUUGGUUAUUGUGGCUAUAGAGAGGAAUGAGGGCCAUGAUUCAUGGUUAAACUCAUAUACAUAUUUCCAUGGAUGUUAAUUUCAUCUUGAUUUUUCAUGCAUUUUUGUUUUUUGAUUUCAUAUUGAGAUUGCUUUGGUUUAUUAUUUUUGGAUACAUAAAUAAAUGAUUAUGUUGUUUUGUCAUUGUUUCUUUUGAAAUAUAAAAUGUUUUUGGUAAUUUAUUAAUAUGGUUUUGUUGGUUUGAAUGUAGGUGGAAGUCAUAGCACUCCAUCCAAAGAUGGAUAAAGGUAAGUUACUACUUCUAAUGCAUUUUAUUUGAUAGGUUUUUCUAUAGUUUCUACUUUCUACUAUCCCUACCUAACCAUGAGUAUAGGUCUGUGCAAUGAUUUCACCAAAUUGAUAUUAUCAACAAGGGUACCUAUGUGUUUUUGGAAUUGUAUGUAUGUUAUUAGUGAAAAACUAUCAAGGAACAAAUGAAAUUUUUUUUGUUAUCAUUUUCAUAUUUUCAGAAAGUAACUUAGGUCAUGAUUGGUUGCCUUGGGGAUUUUAUUCUGAUAGUUGGAAUUUGAAUUCCUUCUGUGAUUUUGACUAUUUUACCCCUAUUGAUUAUUGUUGCUUGGUUGCCGCCCUUAUAUUUUUUUUUUGCCCUUGGUUAUUUUUUAGACUAACAUUAAAGAUGGUGGACAUGGUAGAGCUCAUUGUUGUCAUAAUUUUAGGGUAUGUUUUAAUUUGGUCCAUUUUGCCCCUUGUUUUUUCUUUGGUUUUGAAGUUAAAUAGGAGAACAUAUUGAACCAGGUCAAUCUUGAUUUUCAUAGUAAAUAGUGGUUUUGCAUAAUAAAUAAUAAGUAUGACUUCAAGUUCUGCUAAUAAGCCCAAAAUAGACUUCAAAUUCCAAAAUCACCACGUUAGA
rnacentral:lncRNA from 1 species